rnacentral:rRNA from 1 species
GAUGAACGCUGGCGGCGUGCCUAAUACAUGCCAGUCGAACGCUGAAGGAAGGAGCUUGCUCUUUCCGGAUGAGUUGCGAACGGGUGAGUAACGCGUAGGUAACCUGCCUGGUAGCGGGGGAUAACUAUUGGAAACGAUAGCUAAUACCGCAUAACAGUAGAUGUUGCAUGAUAUCUACUUAAAAGGUGCAAUUGCACCACUACCAGAUGGACCUGCGUUGUAUUAGCUAGUUGGUGAGGUAACGGCUCACCAAGGCGACGAUACAUAGCCGACCUGAGAGGGUGAUCGGCCACACUGGGACUGAGACACGGCCCAGACUCCUACGGGAGGCAGCAGUAGGGAAUCGUCGGCAAUGGACGGAAGUCUGACCGAGCAACGCCGCGUGAGUGAAGAAGGGUGUCGGAUCGUAAAGCUCUGUUGUAAGAGAAGAACGAGUGUGAGAGUGGAAAGUUCACACUGUGACGGUAGCUUACCAGAAAGGGACGGCUAACUACGUG